rnacentral:lncRNA from 1 species
GGCCAUGGGAUUUAUGAAAUAGUGAAAGAGUUGAGGGGAAAUCUCCCUUGUGUUGAAUAUACACAUAAGGUCGUUUAUUUAUAAUAGAAGAAAUAUGAGCUAUGCCCAAAAUACAAAUAAGAAAUAUAAACAAACUAAAUAAGAAAUAUAAACAAACUAACUAAAGAUAAGAGAUAAAUAUAAACUAAAUAUAAAUCUCUAACACUCCCCC